GGGAAGCCAGUGUCUGCCAUCUUGUUGAGUGUGUUACCCCCUUGUUGAGGCCGUUUCUUGUCUUAAAUGGGUCUGUAUGCAGUGGGGUCCCCUGUUGCCUAGAGGGCACCCACAUUCCAAUAUGCGUCAAGCAGUAUGCCCUCUUCUUGCUUUGACUAUUGGCCCUUGGUGGACACCCAUUCUACAGACGCACCAACCAUAACAGACACAAGCAAGCAUUUUGGGGAAGGUACCAUAGCAAGGUUUGUGCUUGCUGCACAGCCUUAAGUGUUUGCUGUUUUCUUCUUCAACCUUGUCAUGGGUUGGUUCAUCUAAACCACAUGUGUCAAACUCAAGGCCCGGGGGCCAGAUGUGGCCCCCCACAUCAUUUUCUGUGGCCCGCAAAAGCCUGGGAAUAAUGUGUGUCAAUAAUGCACUUCAUCUUUUUCCUUUUAAAUGUAUUUAUUCUUUCAUUUUGACUGAAAAAUUGUACUGCAUGCAGUUUGUCUAAACUUUAAUUUUAUCUGAUCAGAUAUUCCAAGCAUUUUUUGUUAUCAAAAAUAAAUCCCAGA